rnacentral:rRNA from 1 species
GUUAAGGCUUGGUCUGCGGCGGACGGGUUAGUACGCGUGGGAAUAUGCCCAAAGGUACGGAAUAGCCUCUGGAAACGGAGAGUAAUACCGUAUGUGCCCUUCGGGGGAAAGAUUUAUCGCCUUUGGAUUAGCCCGCGUUGGAUUAGGUAGUUGGUGGGGUAACGGCCUACCAAGCCUACGAUCCAUAGCUGGUUUGAGAGGAUGAUCAGCAACACUGGGACUGAGACACGGCCCAGACUCCUACGGGAGGCAGCAGUGGGGAAUCUUCGGCAAUGGGCGCAAGCCUGACCGAGCCAUGCCGCGUGAGCGAUGAAGGCCUUAGGGUUGUAAAGCUCUUUCGCCAGGGAUGAUGAUGACAGUACCUGGUAAAGAAACCCCGGCUAACUCCGUGCCAGCAGCCGCGGUAAUACGGAGGGGGUUAGCGUUGUUCGGAAUUACUGGGCGUAAAGCGCGCGUAGGCGGACUAUUAAGUCAGGGGUGAAAUCCCGGGGCUCAACCCCGGAACUGCCCUUGAUACUGGUAGUCUUGAGUUCGAGAGAGGUGAGUGGAAUUCCGAGUGUAGAGGUGAAAUUCGUAGAUAUUCGGAGGAACACCAGUGGCGAAGGCGGCUCACUGGCUCGAUACUGACGCUGAGGUGCGAAAGCGUGGGG